GAUGAACGCUAGCGGCAGGCCUAAUACAUGCCAGUCGAACGAGAUUACGAGGCUUGCUUCUUAUGAAAGUGGCGCACGGGUGCGUAACGCGUAUGCAACCUACCUUAAUCAGGGGGAUAGCCCGAAGAAAUUCGGAUUAAGACCGCAUAAAAACACAGGAUAGCAUUAUCCAAUGUUCAAAUAUUUAUAGGAUUAAGAUGGGCAUGCGUGUCAUUAGCUAGUUGGCGGGGUAACGGCCCACCAAGGCGACGAUGACUAGGGGAUCUGAGAGGAUGACCCCCCACACUGGUACUGAGACACGGACCAGACUCCUACGGGAGGCAGCAGUAAGGAAUAUUGGUCAAUGGAGGGAACUCUGAACCAGCCAUGCCGCGUGCAGGAAGACAGCCCUCUGGGUCGUAAACUGCUUUUAUUCGGGAAUAAACCUUUCUACGUGUAGGAAGCUGAAUGUACCGAAGGAAUAAGGAUCGGCUAACUCCGUG
rnacentral:rRNA from 1 species